rnacentral:rRNA from 1 species
GACGUAGGGCGCGAGCGUUGUCCGGAUUUAUUGGGCGUAAAGAGCUCGUAGGCGGUUUUGUCGCGUCUGCUGUGAAAACUGGGGGCUCAACCCCCCAGCCUGCAGUGGGUACGGGCAGACUUGAGUUCGGUAGGGGGAGACUGGAAUUCCUGGUGUAGCGGUGAAAAUGCGCAGAUAUCAGGAGGAACACCGGUGGCGAAGGCGGGUCUCUGGGGCCGAUACUGACGUGAGGAGCGAAAGCGUGGGGGAGCGAACAGG